rnacentral:rRNA from 1 species
AAACUAACAAGGAUUCCCCUAGUAACGGCGAGUGAAGCGGGAAGAGCUCAAAUUUAAAAUCUGGCAGGCUACGCUUGUCCGAAUUGUAAUCUCGAGAAGUGUUUUCCGCGUUGGCCUGUGUACAAGUCCCUUGGAACAGGGCGUCAUAGAGGGUGAGAAUCCCGUCCUUGACACAGACACCCAAUGCUUUGUGAUACACUCUCAAUGAGUCGAGUUGUUUGGGAAUGCAGCUCAAAAUGGGUGGUAAAUUCCAUCUAAAGCUAAAUACUGGCGAGAGACCGAUAGCGAACAAGUACCGUGAGGGAAAGAUGAAAAGCACUUUGGAAAGAGAGUCAAACAGUACGUGAAAUUGUUGAAAGGGAAACGAUUGAAGUCAGUCGUGCCUGCCUAGAUUCAGCCUUCUGGUGUAUUUCUAGGUCGGCAGGUCAGCAUCAGUUUGGGGGGGUUAACAAGGGAGCUGGGAAUGUGGCAACCUCGGUUGUGUUAUAGCCC